CUUCCUUAAAAAAUUAUAAAAGUUUAAAACACUAUUUUAUGAGUUAUACUUUAUAAGGCAUAAGAGGUGUGCCCAUAUUUGUAAACUAUGGGUCUACAAAUCUGUGGAAUACAAAUGGCAAAAUUGAGGCUACAGUUUCAAAUCUGCAAAGCUGGACUUCAAAAUUUCAACAAACGAAGUACUGUAAGUUAUCAAGCAACCCUGGAAAACUGAAUGACAAAGUACCAGCGUGAAGAGUUGAAGGAGAUUGUUCCCCAAUUAAAGAGAACAAUCAAUCAGCUCCAAGACACAAACAGAGGACUAACAUGCAACCAAAUCCCCAAAUCCUGCUGACGCAGAGGAAAAGUUUCAUAUCUCAGAUGCAGCAUGCCCCUGUAACUUCCACUGCACACUUCAAAAGAGAACAAGAUGCCAAAGGUCACAUCCCAACCUCAGUCUCCAGUGCUCAUUGGAACGCUAUGGUAAUAAUAAGCAAGAGACAUUGUGUAACAACGCUUCAUUGCUGCCAUACUGGCCGUGCUGUUAUUUCGAUACAGUGCAGGGGCAGAGAGAGGGGAGAGGAGAGGCAGGCGACAGCAGACUGACGCCAGCAUGAGAUGACGGAUAUAGCUCGGGUGUAUUGUUUUGGAUUGUGUGCGGGGCUGGAGGUGAGAGUAGCCUGAGUGUUACCGACUGUCCCGGUCUGUCCAUCCCUCAAGUGUCCCGGCAUGUAUUUCUCCCCUGGGGGGAAACGCAAACCUCCCUCCGAUCCCCCAUCCUACACCCCAGGAUUAGCAGCCCUCCUAUUUUUUGUCCCCUUCCACCUUGUCUCUUCAGUCACACGGCAUCCGUGUGGUCUUUGUUUAUGCAGUAAUGAUAUCGCCUGCGAUAUCACUUGUGCUAGACCAGGUUAUUUAUGUCUCCACACUAAUAAUUCAGUUGGUGGAAAUAAAUGUAUUUCAAUGACCUAAACCAUGAAUCUUAAUCCAAUAAUAUGCCUCUGAUUGAAUUUAUGACGUAUUUAUUAAACUUAAGACUAAUUAGUUCUGGGCCAUAAAUUCUUUAAAUCAUUCAGGUGACUAGUCUUUAAUGCUGAUCGAGUCAAUGUCUCCAAAGUACUGUCCUUUUAUGAAUUUAGAAAUAAUAGCGUCCUCAUGCAUGUACUGGAAAGUCAUUUUGCAGUGGUGUUUUGUUAGAUAAUAAAUGUUACAUGAAAAAAAUACAAAAGGUAUAACCACACUUUUGAUUUCAGACAUUUACAGACAAUUAAAAGGUUUUUAGCUGUGACUAAGGAUUUAUUUAGGACUUUUGUUAGUAUAACCCAAAGAAUUCAGGCUG